rnacentral:lncRNA from 1 species
GAGGAUCUGGAUCAUUGUCUCGAUUUGAUUGUUCACCGAGUUCACCUAGGAGAAGGGAGGAUAAAGAGCGUAAAUUGCAGAUGAGAAUUGAUUCAGAACAGUCGAUUUAGAACAAGAUUGCAGGGUGAUACCUGAUUGACUGAUGAAAAGGAGGCCAUCUUGGUUGUUUGGAUUCGGUCUGGUUUGAGAAAAUUGUGGAGGGAUAGAGUUUGUGCAAUUUUGUGAAUGCGUUCAAGGGGGGCAUUGGUGCUCA